UACAGAGGGGGCGAGCGUUAAUCGGAAUUACUGGGCGUAAAGCGCGCGUAGGCGGCUUGUUAAGUCAAAUGUGAAGUCCCCGAGCUUAACUUGGGCAUUGCAUUCGAUACUGGCAAGCUAGAGUAUGGGAGAGGAAGGUAGAAUUCCAGGUGUAGCGGUGAAAUGCGUAGAGAUCUGGAGGAAUACCGAUGGCGAAGGCAGCCUUCUGGCCUAAUACUGACGCUGAGGUGCGAAAGCAUGGGGAGCAAACAGG
rnacentral:rRNA from 1 species